GUGCAGAUGCCCCAUUGCCCAGUCAGAGAAGACAGAUGAUUGAGAAGAGAACAUGGAAAGAAGGGAAGACAGAAGGACAGACUUCAGACCCAUGGACGCGCUCUUUGAAUACUUGCUGAGACUGGGGAUGGGGUGCACAGGCCUGGUUCUUUGCCUGGUUUUUGAAUCCUGGAUGAAUCACCUCUUUUCAGGGUUCCUCUUAGUCUACUUUAGCCCUUCUCAAAUGGACUCUGUCAAGCAAAGAAUGCUUCUUUCCUCUUGUCACUUUGGGCUGCUGAGAAGGGCAUGGUGGCUUCAGGAUCAUUAGGCUGCAAGCCUUUCUUCUUGUUGCCAAGAUAUAAAUGAAGUCCUUGAGUUGAACAAAGCUGGGAUAAUGAUGACCCCUAAGGACCUCUUCUGGAUCCGAAGUGUCAUAAAUCUCUAUUAAUACAAAGAAAGGCAGAAUCACAGUUACCAAGGAACAAGGAGGCAGCACCUGUUACAGCCAUUCAUUUGAGGAGAGAACCAGUUGUCUCUCAUUUUACUGUUAACUAUUCCAUUGAGAAAGCAGUGAUCACCUCAGAACUCAGGGCCAUAUAUGCUCAGAAGCCUCAUUAUAGAAAGUGAUCAGUCCACAAAAAACCACUUCACUCCAAAUGGACUGGACGCAUGCUGAGAACCAUGGAGGAGCCGAAAACC
rnacentral:lncRNA from 1 species